UACGGGGGGAGCAAGCGUUGUUCGGAUUUACUGGGCGUAAAGGGCGCGUAGGCGGCCACCGCAAGUCGAUUGUGAAAUCUCCGGGCUUAACCCGGAAAGGUCAACCGAUACUGCGGGGCUAGAGUGCAGAAGGGGCAAUCGGAAUUCUUGGUGUAGCGGUGAAAUGCGUAGAUAUCAAGAGGAACACCUGAGGUGAAGACGGGUUGCUGGGCUGACACUGACGCUGAGGCGCGAAAGCCAGGGGAGCAAACGGG
rnacentral:rRNA from 1 species